CACCGCCCGUCACAUCAUGAAAGCCGGUUGUACCCGAAGUCCAUGUGUUAACCUGCAAAGGGGACAGUGGCCGAAGGUAUGGCUGGUGAUUGGGAUG
rnacentral:rRNA from 1 species